rnacentral:misc_RNA from 1 species
GAUGAAGAACGUAGCGAAAUGCGAUAAGUAAUGUGAAUUGCAGAAUUCAGUGAAUCAUCGAAUCUCUGAACGCACCUUGCGCUCUUUGGUAUUCCGAAGAGCAUGCCUGUUUGAGUGUCAUGAAAAUAUCAACCUUGACUUGGGUUUUGUGCUCUAGUCUCGGCUUGGAAUUGGGUGCUUGCCGCUUUUACGAGCGGCUCACCUUAAAUGUAUUAGCUGGAUCUGUCUUUGAGACUUGGUUUGACUUGGCGUAAUAAGUAUUUCGCUAAGGACAUUCUUCGGAGUGGCCUCGUUUCUAGGACGCUUGUCCGCUUUCCAAUACAAGUUCCACCUCGUGGACAUGACUUUUUAUUAUCUGGCCUCAAAUCAGGUAGGACUACCCGCUGAACUUAAGCAUAUCAAUAAGCGGAGGA